GGGGAUGUAUCUCAGUGGUAGAGAAUACUUGUCUAGCAUGUGCAAGGCCCUGGGUUAAAUCCCCAGUACUGCCA
rnacentral:tRNA from 1 species